AUUGAACGCUGGCGGCAGGCCUAACACAUGCAAGUCGAGCGAGCGGCGGACGGGUGAGUAAUGUCUGGGAAACUGCCUGUUGGAGGGGGAUAACUACUGGAAACGGUAGCUAAUAAAGCAUACCCUCAGAUGUGCCCAGGUGGGAUUAGCUAGUAGGUGGGGUAACGGCUCACCUAGGCGACGCUCCCUAGCUGGGCUGAUAGGAUGACCAGCCACGCUGUAACGGAUACACGGUCCAGAAUCCUACGCUGGGCAGCAGUGGGGAAUAUUGCACAAUGGGCGCAAGGCUGAUGCAUCCAUGCCGCGUGUGGGAAGAAGGCCUUCGGGUUGUAAAGCACUUUCAGCGGGGAGGCGUUACCCGCAGAAUAAGCACCGGCUAACUCCGGGCCAGCAGCCGCGGUAAUAC
rnacentral:rRNA from 1 species